UACGUAGGGUGCGAGCGUUGUCCGGAAUUAUUGGGCGUAAAGAGCUCGUAGGCGGUUUGUCGCGUCUGCCGUGAAAGUCCGGGGCUCAACUCCGGAUCUGCGGUGGGUACGGGCAGACUAGAGUGAUGUAGGGGAGACUGGAAUUCCUGGUGUAGCGGUGAAAUGCGCAGAUAUCAGGAGGAACACCGAUGGCGAAGGCAGGUCUCUGGGCCACUACUGACGCUGAGAAGCGAAAGCGUGGGGAGCGAACAGG
rnacentral:rRNA from 1 species